GUGGGGAAUAUUGGACAAUGGGCGCAAGCCUGAUCCAGCAAUGCCGCGUGCAGGAAGAAGGCCUUCGGGUUGUAAACUGCUUUUGUACGGAACGAAAAGACUCUGGUUAAUACCUGGGGUCCAUGACGGUACCGUAAGAAUAAGCACCGGCUAACUACGUGCCAGCAGCCGCGGUAAUACGUAGGGUGCGAGCGUUAAUCGGAAUUACUGGGCGUAAAGCGUGCGCAGGCGGUUAUGUAAGACAGAUGUGAAAUCCCCGGGCUCAACCUGGGAACUGCAUUUGUGACUGCAUAGCUAGAGUACGGCAGAGGGGGAUGGAAUUCCGCGUGUAGCAGUGAAAUGCGUAGAUAUGCGGAGGAACACCGAUGGCGAAGGCAAUCCCCUGGGCCUGUACUGACGCUCAUGCACGAAAGCGUGGGGAGCAAACAGGAUUAGAUACCCUUGUAGUCC
rnacentral:rRNA from 1 species